UCACUUUAUUCCUCUGUCCCCAAGAGCUGUUUUAGCACCCAGUGGAAAUCUUAUCCAAGUCCAACCUUGGGAGAUGAAGUGGGCAAUGAUGAACUGAUCCUAAAUGCCGUGAUCUGUGGAAUUCUUCCUGAGCAAGGUCGUUGUAUCAGAGCAUUCCAGGAUUUAUCGUGGAGGGAUUAUGAACGGGAAUGCCUUAACAUUUGGUCCUUCCCAGAACUCAGUGGAUAAAUCUCCUAAGAAAAUAGUUCAAUACACAAUCUUCCUCAUAAUGCAUUUGACUUUCCAGAUGACGUUUUAUUGAGAAUGAGAAUGACUGGCAGCCCUCAGGUGGAUAGCAUGUUCCAACUGCCAAGACUUUUUAUUCUUGCCGCGCUUGAAAAACAGUGAAAUUCACUACAGAAGGUCGUUUCUGCUUUUACAUGGGAAGCUCUACUCCAGGCUCACUUCUGCGUCUUUCUAUGAAACAACAGAGUCAAGAAAGUAAUACUUGCACAUGAAUGAUCCUGAGGAAUGUUGCACAUUGGUAAGAUUGGUGAGCGAUCAAGGAAAGGAACACAAAACAGCAACUGAAAGAUUUAAUGGAGUAUUUAUUAAGUCACUCAGCAAACAUAUGCUUUUCAACUCCUGCCCUGUUGGGCUCGACAAAGAUACAAUUGUUGACUUCUGGGAGUUUUCAACCUAGCAGCAAAGAUAGUAUAUAUACUUAAAGACUUCGCCUUAUGUCUCAUAGUCCAGAACUGUCAUAUGGGCCCUUAACUUCAAGGGAUCCUGGGAAACUGAACAUCUAGCAAAAGGGAAUGGAAAUGUCAUGACUAGAGGAGGGGAUCAAGAAGGCGAAGUAGAAAGACCCUGAACUCACAUCCUCCAUGGGAACACCAAACUUACAACCACUUAUAGAGCACCGAGCUAUGAGAACGACCUGAUCUAGUAGAAAAUAUUUUCUACAACUGAAGAUAUAAAAAAGGAGCCACAAUGAGUUGAGUAGGAGGAGCAGAGACUCUGUCUAGGGAGGACCCACACCUUGGCUUAGCAACCCACAAGUAGGAGGGGAAUCGUAACCACAGAGGCCCUCACCAAGAAGCAAGGGGUCCAAGCCCCACAGUGAGCUCCUCAACCCAUGGAUCCUGUACCAGGAAGGUGAGCCUCCAGGAAGCUGGACUUUGAGAACCAGUGGGACUUACAUUCAGGAGAGCCUGACACAUAGAAGGUGCACGAUAAAUAUUUGUCAAAUAACUUGAUAAAUUAUAACUUAAGACCUAUGUUAAUUUAAUUUGUUUUAUCAAAAGGAGAGAUUUUUAAAUUGUUCAUAUAGUACCAAAAAAGUAAAAACGUGCUCUAAGAUCAAUAGGAUCCUAUAAAAAUGACCCAGGAACAAUAUCAAAGGGGCUCAGAUACUGUGUUUUAAUGCUCAGAAUAAUAAUAAAACCUAGAAAGGCCCCAAAGCAGUGAUCUCUCUGAUGUGUUCAAGGAGCAGCCAAAAGGGCUUGGUGUCUAUACAUAUACACUCUUUAUUAAACAGUUUGCCAUGAGUAUUUUCAUUCUCGUUGGAUUAAUAUUUAUUUUGUCAUUAGCUAACCCUUAAUUAGACAAAAGUUCUCACUCAUUUAU